UGGAAGAGUGGCGAACGGGUGAGGAACACGUAAGAAUCUGCCCCUCGGUCGGGGACAACUUUUGGAAACGAAAGCUAAUACCCGAUACGCUGUGGAGUGAAAGAAUUUCGCCGAGGGAUGAUCUUGCGUCUGAUUAGCUAGUUGGUGCGGUAAUGGCGCACCAAGGCGACGAUCAGUAGCUGGUCUGAGAGGAUGAACAGCCACAUUGGAACUGAGACACGGUCCAAACUCC
rnacentral:rRNA from 1 species